ACGUCCCAGAUUUUCAUCGCCUUGGUGAAGAUACUUAGCAUAAACAUUAAUCAAGGUUUCACUGAGCUGAAGUACUUCUCCCCUGGCCUCGAUCAUACUUUCAUGGCAGUUUUGGACCCAAUGUUGCGUAGUGCGGACGGUAUGUUUUAGGUCUUCUUAUCGUUCAUGAAGGUCAUCGAUCUGAUAGUGAAGUGCCUGUCGUUCGGUCAUCCACUGAUUUUCCUUAGCUUCAACUUCCUUCUGAAAAGUCGUGAAGCGCCUCGCUAUUUCUCUUUCCUGUUCCAUGGAAGCUUUUAGCUGAGCCUGAAGCUUCGACUGUGUACUUAUCAGCGAGGCCUUCUCUUUCUCAAAAUCACUAGAUUGUUGCUCCAUAGC
rnacentral:lncRNA from 1 species